AAAGUACUCGCUCCGUCCCAAAAUUCUUGUCUUAGAUUUGUCUAGAUACGGAUGUAUCAAGUCACAUUUUAGUAUUAGAUACAUCCAUAUCUAGACAAAUCUAAGACAAGAAAUUUGGGAUAGAGGGAGUAGUUG
rnacentral:pre_miRNA from 1 species